UACGUAGGGGGCAAGCGUUGUCCGGAAUUAUUGGGCGUAAAGAGCGUGUAGGCGGUCCGGUAAGUCAGCUGUGAAAGUCAAGGGCUCAACCCUUGAAAGCCGGUUGAUACUGUCGGGCUAGAGUCCGGAAGAGGCGAGUGGAAUUCCCGGUGUAGCGGUGAAAUGCGCAGAUAUCGGGAGGAACACCAAUGGCGAAGGCAGCUCGCUGGGACGGUACUGACGCUGAGACGCGAAAGCGUGGGGAGCAAACAGG
rnacentral:rRNA from 3 species